rnacentral:misc_RNA from 1 species
AGCCUUCAAAAUCAAAUUGUAUGGAGUAACUCAUUACAUUGCUGCAGAAUCCCUUCCUGAACGUUUCAAGCAUCGCUAUCACUGCUAUCAUCGUCAUCGUUCCCCAGAUCCGACGCAAAAUAAACUCCAGGAUGCACCGUUCGCCGCCGCGUCCUUGAAGGAAGAAUGUUGUCCAAAUCGACCUCCGCAAGUGGAUCAUCCGACAAAUCACUCUCUUCAGAAUCAAAAUCGCUUCCAUCGUCACCGGAAUCUUCAUCGUCGUCAUCGUCUUCCUCUAUCAAUUUCCCUUUUCCUUUCUCAUCCGUCAUAAUACCUUUCCCCUUCCGAUCCUCAGCCGCUUUUCCACUCGACUUUUCACCAUCUUCACUGUCGUCUUCAUCCUCAUCCAUCUCGCCCAGAACUCCAU